AAAUCCUCAUACAUGUUCAGGCUCUGUGUAGUCGCUGGCAUAUGGUCGCUGGUGCAAAGUUUCAUUUUGUGCUCAAACAUGUUAAUGGAGGAUACAGCUCCAUCUGGUGGCGGCUCACACUUGUUGCUUGCUGUCAGCUUAAUGGACUGUACAAAGUCCUAACAAUUCCUAACAAAGUUCCUAACAGCUCCUAACAAAGUCCUAACAGUUCCUAACGAUGGGGGGCAAAAGAGCCAAUCCUUUGCUUGGUAACAGGUACCGUUCGAAGAGGCAAAGCAACCCAUCACAUGCUCAAAAACCUCUUCAGAAUGUCGGCCAUGUUUUUCACCACAUAAGACCCACCCGGGAAAAGUGCAGAAAAGGUUUGGAAACUUGAUUAAAACUCAGAAAAGUAACGCAGAAUUUAAGCCGAAUAUAAAACGAUGUGACAAAACAGUACGGGAUUCAAUUUCCCUUGAAGUUAGCACGUUAUUCAACUUGUAUUUCUACUUUUCUACUUAAGUAGCCGCUUUGCUAACGGAGUUCUGCCUGUAAUAGCGUCACUGUACAUAUCAGCAUAGUGUGGCGACGGUAGGAAUAUUGGUGAUAUGACAGAAUCAGAAGACCAGUAGUAACUUAUUUAUUUGUUUGUGUGCCGUGUAAACUUUGCCGAUUUCUCGCGAAAAGCCUUAAGAUUUGAUUGAAUUGUGGCAAGUUUCAUUUUUCGCUAGUAUAACAGUAAUUUAUUGGCUCUGUGUGGCAUUUUCUCCCCGCCGGUAAUGGAGCCUGGUUAUGUGUUUGAACAUAGCAGACAGAUGUAUCCAGCUGUAUUAAACAUGCAUAAUAAGUAGUAUAAUAAUAAUUUAACAAUUAAAAGUUAAACUUAUAAUAAUUAGUUUAAUUUUUCAUUCGUUUUACAUCUGACUAAUAAUAAAAAAUACAAACAGCAAUAUUGAUAUAGCAGGUUUGAAAACAUUUACAAAGUGCUUCACAACAACAAUAUAAGCAUACUUACAUGCAUAAUAUCCUCUGUUCUUUAUGUCCACCUACUAGCUUGGCAUUAACCUGUUUUAUAUUUAAUGUCUACCGAUGACUAAGAAAGGAAAACCAGAUAGUUACCGGAAGGACAUAUGCCUAAAAUAUGCCCAGGGGCAAUACCAUUUUUCAACUGGCAAACGACCAGGGGCCAAGAAAUGGAAAGAGGCCUUGGAAAAAAUAGAUGCUUGCCCCCUGCAGAGCCAUACGAGGGAUCUGUUUGAGAGAAGUCUGAGAUGCUCCUGUGGGUUCCAUAAGUCAGCAGAUCUAUCAUCAGGUGCUGGCUCCAGUGAGGCAGGAGAGUUUGAGACGGAGGCAGGGCGAGUCCGGUUCGACACAGGUAAAGGAGACACGGAUGCAAGGAGAGGAGACACAGAGAGAAGGAAAGGAGACACAGAGACAGGGAGAGAAGACAGGCAUCAGGAGGACCGUGGAGAGCACCCAGGAAGCCGAGUGGCUCUGCACCUGGACAGCAGGCGGCAGAGAGACUAUACAUGACUCGUGGCCAAGCAGCCCAGGACCCUGAGGUACACAAGGUCUGUGAGUGUGUUUGCCUCAGACUCGCCAAAGAGUUUAUGCAAGCACGCAACAGGCCGAGGGACACAAGAGGAAGAAUCAUGCCCAUCCCUCAGUUAAUAGUCACUGUCUACAGCCACCUUAAUAUCUUUUUUAUUUUUAUUUAUUUUAUUUUUAUUUGUCUUUUAUAUUUAUUUUAUUUACAAGUAAAUAUGUUCAUUCACUGCUGCAAUCAUUUGCAAGUAGUGUAAUUGCUAUUGCUGAAAAAAUAUAUAAGUUGCUAUUGCAACUAUUUGCAAAAAACAAAAAACAAAAACAGAACUAACAUAGUUGCACGUUUUUUUUUAAAAAUCAUCAGUUAGCCUUUCAACACCAUUAGCUAACACAAUGUAGCAUUAAAACACAGGAGUGAUGGUUGAUGGAAAUGUUCCUCUGUACCCCUAUGUAGAUAUUUCAUUAAAAAUCAGUUGUUUCCAGCUUGAAUAGUCAUUUACCACACCAACAGUGUCUAGACUGUAUUUCUGAUUAAUUUAAUGUUAUCUUCAAUGAAGACAACUGGUUUUCUGUCAAAAAUAAAGACAUUUAAGUGACCCCAAACUUUUGAACAAUGCUGUAUAUAUAAAGUAAUCUUAAAGUA